AGCGAACGCUGGCGGCAGGCCUAACACAUGCAAGUCGAACGAAGCCUUCGGGCUUAGUGGCGGACGGGUGAGUAACACGUGGGAACGUACCUUUUGGUUCGGAACAACUUAGGGAAACUUGAGCUAAUACCGGAUGAGCCCUUAGGGGGAAAGAUUUAUCGCCGAAAGAGCGGCCCGCGUUAGAUUAGCUAGUUGGUGAGGUAAAGGCUCACCAAGGCAACGAUCUAUAGCUGGUCUGAGAGGAUGAUCAGCCACACUGGGACUGAGACACGGCCCAGACUCCUACGGGAGGCAGCAGUGGGGGAUCUUGCGAAAUGGGCGAAAGCCUGACGCAGCCAUGCCGCGUGAAUGAUGAAGGUCUUAGGAUUGUAAAAUUCUUUUACCAGGGACGAUAAUGACGGUACCUGGAGAAAAAGCCCCGGCUAACUUCGUGCCAGCCGCCGCCGUAAUAC
rnacentral:rRNA from 1 species